AGGAAUACAUCGGAAUCUGCCUUGUUGUGGGGGAGUAACGUAGGGAAACUUACGCUAAUACCGCAUAAGACCUCAGGGUGAAAGCGGAGGACCUUCGGGCUUCGCGCGACAAGAUGAGCCGAUGUCGGAUUAGCUAGUUGGCGGGGUAAUGGCCCACCAAGGCGACGAUCCGUAGCUGGUCUGAGAGGAUGAUCAGCCGCACUGGAACUGAGACACGGUCCAG
rnacentral:rRNA from 1 species